rnacentral:rRNA from 1 species
GAUGAACGCUAGCGGCAGGCUUAACACAUGCAAGUCGAGGGGUAGAGGAAGCUUGCUUCCUUGAGACCGGCGCACGGGUGCGUAACGCGUAUACAAUCUACCUUUUACAGAGGGAUAGCCCCAGAGAAAUUUGGAUUAAUACCUCAUAGUAUUUUCGGAUCGCAUGAUUUGAUUAUUAAAGUUCCAACGGUAAAAGAUGAGUAUGCGUCCCAUUAGCUAGAUGGUAAGGUAACGGCUUACCAUGGCAAUGAUGGGUAGGGGGUCCUGAGAGGGAGAUCCCCCCACACUGGUACUGAGACACGGACCAGACUCCUACGGGAGGCAGCAGUGAGGAAUAUUGGACAAUGGCGCAAGCCUGACUCCAGCCAUGCCGCGUGCAGGAAUAAGGU